UGGGGAAUUUUGGACAAUGGGCGAAAGCCUGAUCCAGCCAUGCCGCGUGCGGGAAGAAGGCCUUCGGGUUGUAAACCGCUUUUGGCAGGAACGAAACGGCGCCAACUAAUACUUGGCGUUAAUGACGGUACCUGCAGAAUAAGCACCGGCUAACUACGUGCCAGCAGCCGCGGUAAUACGUAGGGUGCAAGCGUUAAUCGGAUUUACUGGGCGUAAAGCGUACGCAGGCGGCUUGGUAAGACAGAUGUGAAAUCCCCGGGCUUAACCUGGGAACUGCAUUUGUGACUGCCAGGCUCGAGUCUGUCAGAGGGGGGUGGAAUUCCACGUGUAGCAGUGAAAUGCGUAGAGAUGUGGAGGAACACCGAUGGCGAAGGCAGCCCCCUGGGAUGAGACUGACGCUCAUGUACGAAAGCGUGGGGAGCAAACAGG
rnacentral:rRNA from 1 species